UACGUAGGGUGCAAGCGUUAAUCGGAAUUACUGGGCGUAAAGCGUGCGCAGGCGGUUGGGCAAGACCGAGGUGAAAUCCCCGAGCUUAACUUGGGAACUGCCUUUGUGACUGCACGGCUAGAGUGUGUCAGAGGGGGGUAGAAUUCCACGUGUAGCAGUGAAAUGCGUAGGGAUGUGGAGGAAUACCGAUGGCGAAGGCAGCCCCCUGGGAUAACACUGACGCUCAUGCACGAAAGUGUGGGGAGCAAACAGG
rnacentral:rRNA from 1 species